AGCCUCUUAGUGUAGUGGCCAAGCAUCACGGGCCUUGACCCCGUUGACCCAAGUUCGAAUCUUGGAGAGGCUACCA
rnacentral:tRNA from 1 species